rnacentral:lncRNA from 1 species
UGCUCCUCUUUCCUCGACCAAGGUCAUUCCAGAUUUGAGCGACCCCGGAGGAAGCCUUACCUCUUGAGCCGGGACCAGCCGUCUCUUGUCCUAGAGACAGAGGGGAGCCACCUCACGGAACCUGGAGGAGAGCACGCCCUGAAUCUGGCGAUGGUGGAGCACCGUCUGGAGAUCCUGACCCUGGGAGUAGACGGACUCGGCCCCGAAACUCUGGCUCUGCGGUUCGGGCCCCCAGGGGACGCCCUGUACAAAGGGGCAUGUCGCACUCAGUCAGCAGCUCCCGAGAGCACGAGAUUCUACCCAGACACGAAGUCCUGACAUCACGACCACCACCCAGGCACUCAGCUUCAUGAAGGACCCCACUCCAGCCUGCCAAGUCAGAGGGGAUGCCGAGGAAGAUCUAGGUAUCACGCAGGACCUGAGGCGAAAAUAGGAAGAGGUGUCACACGUCCAGACAAGCGUCGCAGACGGGACCUCCAGGGCCUCGGGUGUCCCAGCAGCUGGUUGAACUGGGGAAGGUGGUCUAGUUCAUGAGGGGCGGGGCCCGAGCGCGAGGGGAGGAGCCGAGAGCAGACCCCCCUGCACGAUGGUAGGGUGGGAGGAGGUGCAAGUGGACGAAACUUACACCAAGGGGCGGGGCUACACUGUGGGGCGGGGCCGGGGCCUACCAAUCGAGUUGCUAAGGAAGCCUGGUCAGUUGGCAGGGAGGCGGGGCCAGCUGGUGGGCUGAGGCUCCUCCACUCGCGAAUGUACCUGCAGGAUACCGGGCGGAGGUGCCCGGAGGAAGAACGUGGCAUGAAGACCUGCAGACGAAACCGGGCUUGAUGGCACGAACAGCCUCAGCUACUGAGGAGGCUGAGGCCGGAGGAUCACCAGAACCAAGAGUUCGAGGCCAGCCUGGGUAACAUGGAGAGACCUGCCUCUUAAAUUAAAAAAAAAAAAAAAGAAAGAAAGAAAGAAAACUGGACAAACAAGUUGGCUCAGAACCAGGACGCCAAACUCAGGCCUGGGCACUUGUCUUGUUUUCCUUCUUCUUCUCCUAGUGUGUGUGUGUGUGUGUGUGUGUGUGUAUGUGUGUGUGUGGUGUGGUGGUGGUGGUAUUAGGGAUCAACCCAGGGUUGCUCCCAUCCCCAGCCCCUUUUUUUUUAAUUUAUUCUGAGGCAGGGUCUUGCCAAAUUGCCCAGACUGGCCUCAAGCUUGCCAUCCUCCUGGCUCAGCCUCCUCAUCCUAAGUAGCCUUUAGGACACUACUGGCUCAUGGCCAUGGGCAUAGGGGUUGGCUCCCAAAUGUGAAAAGAAUGCCUAUGACAUCCUUGAGUCUUUUUUUUCCCUCAGUAUUGGGGGUUGAACCCAAGGAUGCUCUAUCACCAUUGAGCUAUAUCCCAACCCUGUUUAUUUUAUUUUUGAGAUAGGGUUUCUCUAAAUUGCAAGAGCUGGCUUUGAACUUGUGAUCUUCCUGCCUCAGUCUCCCAAGUCACUGGGAUUACAGGCAUGUGCUACCACACUGGACAUCCUUGGGACUGUAUUAGCACCCAAUGGCCUCCCAAUAAGUUCUUUAGCCUGAUAUCCACAGUUCCCCUGCCAGACCUUCCAAACUCAGCUCCUGCAUCAACCUCUCCUCCUUUCCCAUGAUGCCUAGCCAUGCUAGCCUUCACUGCUUAGGACCUGCCCUAGCACAGCCUCUCUACCACUCUUUCCCCUGCUGAAAUGCUCUUGUCUCAGCAAAACAUAUAUUCCCACCACCUGUUUCCAUAUGGGAAAGCUGUGUUGUAGCAACCAACCUGGCCUUUCACCUAUGUCUUAAGCUAUGUUUUACAAACUAGUAUAUCAGUAAUUGUAGCAAAUCGUAUUUUCUUUCCUUUCCUUUUUUUUUGGGGGGGGCAUGCUAGGGAUCCCUUUUUUGGGGGGAGGAUGCUGGGAAUCCAACUCAAGGUCUCACACACAGGCACACUAGGCGAGCACCCUACCGCUGAGCUAUAUCCCCAGCUCAGCAAAUCGUAUUUUUCAACAAAGAUAUCCUUUCCUGGGUGUGGUGGCACAUGCCUGUAAUCCCAUUUACUCAGGGGACUGAGACAGUAAAAUCUCUAAUUGGAGGUCAGCAUAGGCCAUUUAGCAAAGACUCUUCCUUAACAUAUUAAUUAAUUAAUUAAUUUAGAAAAGGUGGGAGGAUGCAGUUCAGUGGUAGAGUGUUUGUUUAGAAAGCACAAAGUCCUGAGUUUGUUCCAACACCUAUAAUAAGUAAGUAAUAAAUAACUUUAAAAAUGUCUCCAAUUCCACAUGCUCAUUUUACAAUGUGACCUUGACACUUUUGCUAUCAAGUGAUGGGGUCUGUGUUCCCCUUCUUUGAACCUGGGUCUAUCUUUGUGAUAGUAAAAUAGGGUGGAAGUAAAACUGUGUGACCUCUGAAACUGGGUCAUAAAAAUACCAGGUGCUCUCUUGGGACACACUUGGAAUCCAGCUUUUGCUGUGAGGAAGUCACACUAGUUCAUGUGGAGAGACCUGGGGAGGUCACGAGUAGGUGUCUUGACAGGCACCCAGCUGAGGGGCCAGUCUACCGCCAGCACCAACUUACAGACACAUACAUUGCUGUGAUUUGAAUGUGCCUCCCCAAAAGCAUGUGUUAGAAACAAUCCCCAAAGCAGUGGGAAGAAGAGCCCCAUGAGAGGUGGGUAGGCCACGAGGGCCGAGUCAAUGAGCUAGGGAGUGGGGUUCUUACAAAAGGAAAGUUUCUUCCUCUCAUGCUCCUUCUUGCCCGCUUUGCCUUUCUGUCUCCUACCAUGGGAUGAGGCAGAAAAAGGCCCUCAGCAGAUCCUAGUCUUUCCCAUUUGGACUUUCUGGCCUAUAGACUGUGAGCCAAUAAAUUGUCAUUUCUUAUAAAUCAUCCAGCCUGUGGUAUUUUAUUAGAGCAGCACAAAGUGGACUAAGACAUACAUCUUGAGAUGAUUCCAGACCCAGGCCCUCAAGUCCUUCCUAGCCAUCUGGUCUUUCCAGCUGAUGCCCCACACAUCAUGGAGCAGAGACAAGCCAUCCCUGUUGUGCCCUUUCUGAAUCUCUGACCACAGAAUCCAUAGGCAUCAAAGUUGUUUUAUACACAGUUUACAGGAGGUUUCUCAUGCACCAUAGUAACUAGAACAGUAAGUUGUUCUGAUUUCAG